rnacentral:rRNA from 1 species
CGGGACCGACCGGUAGACGAAACCGGAGGGAAGGUGGGGACGACGUACAAGUCAUCAUCCGGCCUUAUGUCCUGGGCUACACACGUGCUACAAUGGCCGGUACAGAGCGCAGCGAGGCCGCGAGGCGGAGCGAAUCGCUUAAAGCCGGUCCCAGUACGGAUUGGAGUCUGCAACCCGACUCCAUGAAGUUGGAAUCGCUAGUAAUCGCGCAUCAGCAUGGCGCGGUGAAUACGUUCCCGGGCCUU